rnacentral:rRNA from 1 species
AUUGAACGCUGGCGGCAUGCCUAAUACAUGCAAGUCGAGCGGAUUAGAUUGAAAGCUUGCUUUCAAUCUGGUUAGCGGCGGACGGGUGAGUAACACGUAGGUAACCUGCCCGACAGACCGGGAUAACAGUCGGAAACGAUUGCCAAUACCGGAUACGCGAUUCUGUUGCAUGACGGAAUCGGGAAAGGCGGAGUAAUCUGCCACUGACGGAUGGACCUGCGGCGCAUUAGCUAGUUGGUGAGGUAACGGCGCACCAAGGCGACGAUGCGUAGCCGACGUGAGAGGGUGAUCGGCCACACUGGGACUGGGACACGGCCCAGACCCCUACGGGAGGCAGCAGUAGGGAAUCGUCCGCAAUGGGCGAAAGCCUGACGGAGCAACGCCGCGUGAGUGAUGAAGGUUUUCGGAUCGUAAAGCUCUGUUGCCAGGGAAGAACGGUUAGGAGAGUAACUGCUCCUGAUUUGACGGUACCUGAGAAGAAAGCCCCGGCUAACUACGUGCCAGCCGCCGCCGUAAUAC